ensembl:snRNA U6 U6 spliceosomal RNA
GUGCUAUCGCUCUCAGUACAUAUACUAAAAUUGGAACGAUACAGAGAAGAUUAGCAUGACCCCCUGCUCCAGCCCCUCAAGAUGUAGUUUUAAAGAAGUUUUUA